rnacentral:lncRNA from 1 species
UCUUCCCUUUUUUAGCUCUCUGUUUUGGUGUGUAUUAGAAGAACCAGAGCCAGUGUGCCAGGGAACAGCCUAGUCUCUGGCUGUCUCUCAGCUGCUGAUAAGAUUCUUCCUUUGACUACACAAGCAACAGCUGUCUAGCUGCCUGCACAAGACUGGAUCUACUGCCUCUACAGAAAUCUAGGUCAAAACACUUGGAAUGCAUGAAUAUCAAACAGAGUUUUCAAAACAGCAAAUGAAUACAUCUUUAACUGGUGACAUUUUCCUGGAGCAUAUGGCUGAAGCUCAGGGGACUGAAUGCUUUUUUGAUGAAUAUGUUCCAUCAGAAACUAAGGGACGGCAGUAGGCUCUUGCCACCUUCUGUUUUGCCUUAUGAAAUGAUAAUGCAAGCUCAUGGAUAGAUACAGCGAUCACAGGGCUUUUACCUCCGACAGCCUAAGGAAGUGCUUUCCCCUGUGAACGAGUUUCUUUGUCUUUAGUAGGAUUUAUAUUUGUACAUAGUUAUCAAGUCAAUGGAACAGAACAGUUUUCUUCCUAGGGUAGAAUUUGAUUGGUUGAAAAUGUAAAAGUACUGAACUGAAAAGCAGUAAGAAAAUCUUAGGUUGGUAUCUAAGCCAAUAAGUUAUGGCCACAGCUGCGGAAUGCUGUUCCUAAUCCUGUCUCCGUGUCAAUAUCAAGGGACUAGGUGAUCAUCUACCAUGGUGUAUCAGAAAUAAAAGCCUUGGGAUGAUUGGCGGUUUCUCACCUGGUUCAGAAGUCCACCACCAAUGAUUCCAAUGUGUCUUGAACAUGUUCUGUUACUGCCAUGACUUUGUUGACCCCAUGCUUAAUGAAACUGCAGAGCUGCAAUGAUUUCAAAGUCUUUUUACUGGUUCUAAAGUUCCAGGUUUGCACGAGUUUAUGAAACCAGUUUAUUCUUCAUUGCAUCAUGCUUAGAAUCACACAACUGGGAACAAUAGGAGUGGACUCGUUGGAUGGUUUUGAGUGGUUUGCUGUUCACUCUUUUCUUUAAAAGAAAAAUUCCCUGAAGAGCAUUUUCUACUUCGCAUUCAAGAAAGCAAAGCAGAAGGAAGAAGGGAGACCAUCCCUCGGUCUCCUUAUUCCAGCUCAGUCCAACAAUCACUGGUUUUGGAUACAAACACACAUAACUAAGCUGAGUUAUGGCAGACAGAGCCUACAUUUCUGUUCCUGUCCAGCUAAUGAAUUUUAUCAGACUGAGAAUGUGUUAGUGGCAGCUUAUCCUUUACACCUGACUUUCUGUGUUUGGAUGUUGUUUGAAUAGAAUUUGUGAUUGUUCCAGGAACCCAUCAAUACAACAUUUUGACAGGAAUAUGCAAUCUUCUUCCUUGAUUUCAAUAAUUCCUUGAAAUUAUAU